GAGGAUACCCUUGUGACUGAAACAUAUCCUCUAUGAUUGCUUCCAGUUUGCCUAUCCGCAGUACCACGUGCUUGUUCGGAACUAAACUGCUCACUACCGCCACGCGGCAUUCAUGGCGGCUGCCGCGCGCACAUUUCUUCCCAAUAUGAACUUGAAAACAAUUAUAAUUUUAAUAUAUUUUUGAGUUUGUAAUAAAACAUCUGAUCAUCCAGCCAUGGUCUCGCAAGUAUUUCCCUUGUGUAUUUUCAUAUAAAUAAUGUUAGCCUUUUUUUAACUUAUGUAACUAUGGAAAAUAUGUAAUUUAUUACAAAAAUUACUAGCCAUUUUAAAACUAGCUUUAUAAGCAGUCGUAAUGUUCAUUAAAGAUUAUGUAUAUUUUCAGAGACUUAUUCCUACAACUGUAUUAAGUAAUAAAAGGCAGGAAAUACAUUUGUUUAACAGAAAAGUAUGCAAUAAAAAGUUGAAAAUUAUAUUAUUCAAAAACCAAAAUUCAAUCACAAUUGCAAAUACAUCACAAAAUGCAAAAAAUAACCUUGCAAAUGAUUUUAAUUAAAUGCAUUAUUUUGCGUUCAACUUAUUAAAAUUAUGAUACUUCAUAUACUUGUAAUAAUUCUUGCAUAUUUGCUGUAUGGUACGCUCUUUCCGAUUAAGGGUCCUGUAUAAGUUAAACGCGUUUGUGAUCAAAUUACUCGUCUGUUGCUUUAGCCGCAAGCCGGAGCGGUAUGAAAUAAAUGAUUUUACACUCGUGACAUUGUAAAUAAAGCUAAAUAUAUAUGAGUUAAAACAAAAUACAAGUAUUCUGGGUAAACUAGAAAAUUGUCCCGAGCUCGACGCCCCAAUGCCGAGGUCAACUACAUGGAAGAUCAGCAGCUGGGACAGCUCAGUACGACGACGAGACCGUUUACGAAGUGUCGAUGGAUUAUCAGGAAAGUCAACAACUUGUUCAGGUACUUUGAGCCUCUCGUCAAAAUUAAUUUUAAAUUUGCUACCGUUAGAACCUGGAGGUGACUUAUCUUCCGUGUUCUACCAAGCGAAGCAAACUCUAAAUUAAUUGCUAACCGAAUUGUAAUAAUUUUAACGCAAAAUCCAAGAGCGAAUUUGGUUACUUUCCUCAUGCUAGAUUUUACAAGAUUUUGCAAUAGUUAAAUAAAUUAAUCAAAAACUUGUCUUUUUGCUGUUCCCGCAUGCAAUUAACUCGGCGAAUAUUGACGAUUUUUAAGUUAACAUGAAAAUACUAUACGAUUUUCAUGCGAUAAUGUGUUGAUAAUAGUGUGUGUAGUUUUAAGAAACUGUCUUGUGAUUUGUAUUACAUUCACUUACGUAAUGAAUGAUCUAAAUGUAAUGUUAUGAAUACCGUUCAUUCGUUUCGUUUUUCUUUAAUCCGGAGGGUCUGUGGUUGAAACUGAAUACAUGUGCCAUUCCUCUUUGCUAACUAAUGUGGCUUAAUUGACAUGACAUGAAGGCAUAAUUCACGUUGUUUGAAUAUACGAAAUAUUUGUUGAGUAAAACUUAAAUAUUUUAUUAUUUAAAUUUCUGUUAAGUGCCGUACACACAUUAAAAAUAUCUUGCAGCAUUCCUUAGUUUUAUGUCUAUUAAAAUUUGCUCGUGUGUAGUGUAUUAUUUCCAGUAGGCGUGUUGCUGCAGUUAAAUUACAUUGUAUCACACGUGUAACAUACAUUUCAUAUGUUUGCGUUCAAAUAUUCCUGAAAGGGUAAAACCUAUGUAUGAUCUUAUAAAGCGCUAUUUAACCUUCUAGAAAAUAGUUUGAUCUAUUUUAGCAGUUUUUUUUAAAUAAUCGUAAUUAAAUGAUUUAAAAAAUCUUAACUUCUGUGAACAACAAAACAUUUUGUCCAAUUUUGGGUGUUAAAAUUAACCACUGUAUUCUACCUUUCUUAUAUUCUGUUCUAAAUAAAAUUAUAAUUUUUUUGACAGAUGUAUGACUAAAGUUUGACACUGAGUUGAAUACCGUAAAUUAAUUCAUUUUUCGUUUGAUACAAGACCAGUUAGUUAGAGUGACUAAACAAAGAAGGUUUUGUUAAUUUGUAUCGUAUGCCUUCAAACACGAGCGUAGUGCACAAGGUGUAAGUUCUUGAAUCCAUACUUUCGGUCCCGGCGCAUGUCUAGCAGGUUUGAAGCCCGGUCGUUCAUCGUCGCACUGGGGAGUCGCCACUGUCACCGCAGCGGUCCCCCGCGGUGGGCGCUCCGCCCCAACCCUCGUCAGCCACUUGUUCCCACGUCCACGAGCGGUCUCCAUAGCCUACAGUUUAUUUCAUUUUAAUACUUUUAACUCUCAAACAUUCUAAACUAACAAAAACAUUAAAGGCUGCCUUUUAUUACAGUCAUAAAUGAAACAUACAAAAGCUGGACUGUCUAAUCAGUAAAAAAAAAUACAAACUUCCAUUGAUUAAACAUAUUAAUUAAAAUAUAAUCAGAUAAAGAUAAAAAAAUGUAAGUUUUGUGGCCCCUCAAGUAUGCUAAAUAAUUUGUUUUCAUUUUCGUCACGUGUCGUCACAUGUAUUUUUUCUUUUAUGUGACAGUCAUUUGUAGCAAUAGAAUGCCUAAUCAGAGGUGUAGAGGCUGGACGAUAGUGUGACACACACUGGUGUUUCUUGUUGGCUAUGAACUGGCGCGCAGUCUUCUCGUAGUGCAUAAGGCAUUUGUCUGAUAAGAUUUCAAUUGUAGCCAUAACAUUGUAUGGUGGAGAAAUGAAGAUAAAGUGUAAUGCACGUACCUUGAGUGCUUUGAAGAAUCUUUACUGGGAGUUUCGUGCCUAAAUAUUAUUCUGAAAACACGCGUUUUAGACAUUUUCAGUCUUCUAAAAAUACAUUUUAAAAAUGAAAUCCGGAAACAGAACUACUCAUCCGCCUUUAGUGCUUCUCGUAAGCUUUUCUAGUAAGUGGUUUUCGUAAGCAGACCCCACUCGAAUAUCUUUAGCAGUUUUUUGAUUGUUUUUUGUUUUUUUUUUUCUCUGAAGCCCUCCACUCCCUGUGUGUGUUCAGUUAGGCAGGCUCACCAUUGUUUAAAAUUCAUACCAAAGUCUUGAGAGGUUAAUUUGUUUCCAUAAUAAACGUACCAUUUCUUUUUAUUGGGGAUUUGCUGUUCAUUAGACAAUAGAGACAAACGCUUACAAAAGUUCGCAGGAAAUGGGGGAAAGGAAUCGGUUAAGGAAGCUUCCCAGCAACAUGUGGAGUGAUUUCGGGAAACAAUCGAAAACCGAAAUUAGGAUUACUGUACCGGAUGAAUGGCCUAAGUAUAGAGGCCUGUCCGAUCCGCGGACAAAUUUUUUUCCCGUUCUGCGUGUAUACGUCACAUUGGAGGUACUGCAGAAGAUAUUGGCGCCAAUCUACCACGGGUUUGAGUGUUAUAUUUAUAAUAUGAAAUGUCAAAAUGCUACGUAAAAUGGUUGCCAAAAUAAUAGUAAAAGAACAAAAGUUAUUUAAAGCAUUACCAUUCCUAUUAAAACUAUAACUUAUGAGAAUUGAGUGUUCUCGCGCAAACAAAGAAAAAUUUUGACAAUAAUUGUUAUUACACAAAUUAAGUUAGGAAGGGUUAAAUGUGUGGUCAAAUUACGUUUUUUAUAGCAACUGAUCUUGAGGAAAUGUGAUUUGGUUUGUGUAGGACUUGGCUUGAACAGUUGAGCCAAAUUUAUUUUAAACAAAGGCACAACACUUAAGUAUUGGUUUUAUUUCUAAUGACUUUCUAAAUUAUAACCUCGUUAAAAAAUUUAAUGUAGGAUACAGGUGCAACUGAAUUAUUAGCAUUACUUUUUACUAUGUUUCAUUUAGCCAACAAAUGUAUCUUAUAUUGCCACAUGAAUUAAUUUAGGGCUAUAUAUUCUUUGUAUUAUUGAAUUAACUUACACGGACUUUGGAAAAAUUAUAAACGUGUCCCAAAGUUUUGGUUGGAAAUGUUAAAUAUAAUUUGCACUUAAUUAAAUGAUAAGUUUCUUUAAUGGUCUGUUGACAUCAUUAACAAAAAUUUGUGAAAUAUAAAUUUAAUGUGUAAAUAUUCAUUCUUCAGAGUAGGUUUUGUUUUGUUUGUUGAGUAUUUAUUUUGGCAAUUUUCUAGAGUUGAAGAUCUUCUGAAAGUUUACAUAAGAUUCUUAAAAUUGUAUUAUUGAGUUACUUUCAUUAUAUGUGAUGAUUCUGUAAAGCUUCAUUGAGAUAUUUCAACUUUUCAAGUAGUUUACAGGUAGUUUACCAUUGGAAUAGUAUUUUGGGUUGCAUUAGGUCAACUACUUUUUAAAUACUGUAAACUUAUUUGAACGGUUGGUUAGGUUUGGAUAGUUACAUUAAAAAUACUGUUUAAUCGCAUGAUUGGCUGGAUUAGGUAGUUAUACUUCAAACAGUGCAAAAUUGUGUGAAUGAUUGUAUAGGUUAUGUAAGAUGCAUUUAAAAUACUGAAAAUUGGUGUGAAUGGUUGGUUAGGUUUGGUUAGCGACAUUAAAAAUACUCAACGGUAUUCUUCAGUUAAAGUGUUUCUCAAAAAAACCAUUUCGGAAUUAAAUGUCCUUAGUAUAGCACCUUCUCUAGGAAAUUACCGUAACUUUAAAUACGGAUAACAAGCUGCAGGUAGAGAAUAUAGAAUGUGUUCGCUAAGUUCAGGAAAGCGGGGUGGCAGAUUUGCAAUUAAAAGAAGUGAAAGUCUGCAUUUUUUAAAACUUUGAAACUCUUAAUGUUAAAAGUUUUGGGAAAUGAUUAAUAAAAAUGAAACUUUUUUUUAUAAUUUCUUGUAUCGUAUGGAUGACAGAUUAUUAAUUUUCCAACCUUGAUUUUUGCAGUAAUGGCUUUUUCGGAUUAGUUGAACUAACCAUCCAAAUGAUUUUUGUUCUCCGUAUCUACAACAACCACUUCGGUAUUGUCCCGCAUAGUAUUUGGUUUGACUAUGCUGUUGGAUGUUUAAACUGAUACCCUUGUGCAAGUUGUCGAUAAGGAUGAGUUUGGAGAAUGAUUCGAAUGCGAAAACAGGCUGUGUACAACCUUUGCCAUGUGAAGCUUGUGUUCGUUGCAAACCUAACUUGGCCACAGGCGUUCGGCGGCCGUGCGCGACAUAACAACUACGAGCUCCGAGUCGGUUACCAAGUAAGUGGUGGUAGUGCACUGCAAUCUCGCAUAUCUCAUCGCUUUUCCUGUGCAUAACCUUGCAAUGUGAAACAUAUCGUUAGUCUUUUGACUUGGCCAUGUAAAAUCACCUGUGACAAGCUGUACGUAUGGAGACUAGUUGGCUUGAUUUAGGGCUUCUUACGGCAGUUAAUCUAGUUAAUGAUUAUACGGGUUUUUUGUGUAGGCACUAACUCACCGUUAUUUUGUGUGCGUUAAUGGCAACAUUUCUAUGUAUUCAACAAUUCCACAUGCCCGAUUUAUUAAUUCGUUUCCUUGCGCCGUUGUCAAUGUAAUUUUGCUUUCAGUGUAAGGAAGUAAAACUUAAUUAAAGUAGAUUCAGGCAAAGCUUGUGACAGUGUUGUGUUAAGUUAUCAAAAUACAUAAAGAAAACUAUAUUGGCUUCAUAGACUAUGGAUGCAUGAUGGUUUUGCAAUAAAUUUGGUUAGUAAGCUACAUUUAAAAGAAUUGUAUAUUUAUUUGACGUUUGUAAAUGAAACGUCGUUUAAUUUACUCGCCAUACGGCGCACAGUGUCUAUGAAAGAUUAUGCAUACUAGAGACCGAAAGAAUUUGCAGAUUCAUAUAGUGACAAACUAAAAUUCAAACUCGUAUAACCGUGUACUUGUCUGCAAUGGACUCACAGACAUGCGGAGUUUUUCAAGCCAAUAACAAGUCGGCAACCGAAGAAGUACCAAAUCACGGGUAGCCCAGUCGAGACUUGCAGUCAGCAGCCAGUGAUACUUGCCCGACUAUACAGGCGACUAUUGAGUCGAUCGUGAAGGUCAAUUGAUCUCACCAGUCUUUCCAAUCACGAUCUAUUACGUUAGACGAUUCAUCGCGGAGGAUUCUGAGAGUUUUGUUUGGGCGUUAUGCAACAUUUAUAGGGGCAUGUAUUUUUCGCGAAAAGAUUUUGAGACUAGCUUAGAGUUAAAACACUCUAGCAUAGUCUGUGUUUUGUGAUAGAGUUUCUUUCAGGUACAUGUUUACGGUUGGUACAACAAUCACAACCAUUCAGCGUGCUUAGUCAAAUAAGACAUUUGCUUAUUUUGCAGACGGUUACCAAUUAUAAGGAGAAAACCGCUGGCUCGGGCAUAUCUUAUUGCAGUCUAAUGAGCGUUCAGAUGGCCCAAAACAUUUCGGCAAUGUCUCAGAUUGGCGAAAGAUGCUGGUUUAGCUCUUGGUUUAGCCAUUGUGAUCGUGUAUACUAUGUAACAUAACGUCUUUGAUUUAUCUGGGGGAAAGAUAACAUGUCAACGAUAUUUAUACCAACUUCAGGAGCAAGAAUAAUUUACAUUUGGUUUUAAACAAUAAGGCAGAUAAGUUCGCAAUAAAUCGUCUUUUUACCUAUUACUUCUAAACAUGAUUAUUUGUCGCGAUUCAUAAUUGUGCCUAUUACACCAGUUGCGUUCCACCGAGCGGAGUCAGCAGAAGAAGCAGAAAGUUAAUAACUGACUGGUUUUCUAGCACGUUUGCUACAGAACAGCGGAGCCCAGCCUCACGGGGAAAAUGUUAUUCGAAAUGGCAAGGCGUGUGUAGAGCGAGAGUCCUACAAAAUUCACGUUUUUUCCCCACAAACUUAUGCAAAACCGAGUGGAUGACAUGUGUCCAUUGGCUGCUGCCCUAUUUCACCUUUUCUCCAGGUCGCACGUGAUUUAGUCAGAUAUUUUCUAGGUAGGUAUUUGUGAUUGGCGUUUAGUCCUCCAGGGCGUUUCAAAUAAUUCGUUAUCCAAUCACAAAGGUAUUUGAAGUGAAUAGAAAUAACGCGGAAUUCGCAUGUCCCUAGGUGUGUGCUGUACUGCAUUUGCGUUCGUCGAUUUUAAAACUUUUGUAAUCAAUCUCCUUGCACGCAACUGCUUAUCACUUAACGCAAACAAUGCUUGAUAUAAAACCAUUAAGUUGACAGCAGAUAAGAAGUAGUUCUGUCUCUCGACGUCUUGUCAGAAUUAUAUUGGUUUUCAUCAUCGGUAUCUGAAAUUACUUUUUAUUUGUUUCGUUUGUAUUAGAGAAAUAAUUGUUUUGUUUGAUUGUAACACAUUUUUAUAUCCAUAGCAAUAAAUGGAGACACACAGGUUAUGAGAUUUUUUUUUAUUUUCACUCCAGGUUAGUCUUCACUGGUCUGUAUCCAAGCGAGUCGCCCGCCUACCUGAGCACAGAUACAGCGUACAGAGCUUCAGAAAAACCCACGCGAUUUGAAAACUGUUCUUUAUAUCCGAGUGGUGUCUGUUUACUAAAAACUUUUUAGAAUGCGCUGGGGACGGAUGGGUGGUUAUAUUUCUGUAUUUCGUUUUUAAACGAAAUGUUUUUAGGAGAGUGAAAAAGGUUACAACGUGUGUUUUCAGAAUAAUCUUUAUAUAUGAAACGUCCGGUAAAGAUUCUGACAGCAUCCAAGGGUUUUGCAUUACACCUUAUCUUCAUUUCUUCGACACUUAAUGGUUACCUCUCAAAUUUCAUAGUUGUCCUAUGCAUGACGAGAAGACUGCGCUCCUGUCAACAGCCUUGCGCUUAGAAGCGAUACUGCGCUAGAAACACCAGCGAGCGUCGCACUUAUCCCGCCUCGCUAACCCAGACACACCCCUGACUAGAAGGGCCCUUACGGCUUGGUCUCACACGCCACGUUGAUUUUUCGGCUUUUUUUUUGUAAUUAUUUUUAUCUAAUUACUUUUUCAAAAAACAUAACUCGAUACUGCCUUUGCAUUUGUUGUUCUUCCACAUAUAUUUCCAACAGGUAUUCACUUAGUGAAAUAUAUUGAGUGUAAAACGUCAUGCAAGUGAUGAUAAUUGCGUGACUGUUUACACACACGAUACUGCACUAAGUAAAUAUAUGUUAAAAAUAUUUGUGGCAGAACGACAGAAAUAGCCCCUAGAAAAAAUGAAUGACGAAAAAACCGAAAAAAAAUCAACAUGGCGUGUGAGACCACGUCUAGUCGACAGCUUUAGAGACAGUAACAUAACUCAGACCAGGAGUAUCGGGAACGCAAUCUCCCAUGGGCUGUAGUGAGGUACCAUCCCAGUAUCGGUCUGGAGCGAUGCCGGGAAAUAAUAGAAAGCCGAAAUCUGCCUGACCCCGCGUCAUUUGAAACAUGGUCCUCUGGGAUGUGAGUUCAUUGACCUACCACUGCGCUGCCUACCUGGACACAUACAUACACGGUGUGCGGAACUUCAGAAAAAACACAUUUUUUUCUUGGUUCGUGUUUAAACUGUAUUUUUAUAAGAGUGAAAAGGGCUAAAACGAGUUUUUUUCAGAAAAUAUUUUAGGUAUGAAACUUUUUGUAGAUAUUCACGAAAGCAUUCAAGGGACUUUCAUUACACCUUUCAUCUUCAUUUUUCCGUCAUAUAAUGUUCUGGUUGCCACUCAGAUCUUAUACGCUGCGAAAAGACUGCGCGCCUGUUCAGAGCCGAUACCGCGCUAGAAACACCAGCGAGAGUCGCACCUACAAUCCCACCUCACUAACGCAGAUACACCUCUGACGUGUGACGUUGUUAAGUCAUUUUCCACCCAACCAUCGCCAUAUUGCAGCAUUGGAAACAUGGUGGCACCCAGCCUUGAAUUAGAACUGCCGUCGAUAAACACAGUCAUUUUAAAACGGCUUCCACCGUACAAACAUCAUCGCAGAAACACGGCGCAGACCAUCAGCUGGACAAAAAGCGGCUUCACGCAGGAUCCUUAUCACACUUCUUGCCCUGUUUCUUACUUGGCGAGGAUUCUCCCAUCCAGUCUACCCGGGUUAGAUUUCUAGCGGGUAUUUCCCAGGUGGGGAAACGUGGCGUACGUCGCCGCGAAUGGGGUGGGUUUCCCCCCGCCAAACGCGUUCCUUCGCUGUUACAUGUAUCUCCUCGCGUCACCCUUCAUCCGCCUCAUCUCGUGACCGUGUGCUACCAACCAUGCCGUGGUUUCAAUUCAUUCUCUGAGCGAUUCUCUUUGUGGGGAUUACUGGUUUUAAAUACUGCUGGCAAUGAAGUAUGUCCAAUAAAUAAUAUUGAAUUGUGGUGUCAAGUCGUUCACGCUGGCAGCAAUGGUAAGUCUAAAAGUAUGCGAAGGAGACACUUAUUAGAAGAAAGGAGAAAAUAAGAAAGGUUUUUAGAAGUUUUGCGAUAACCGAGCACAGUAUUUUUCCGUAAGAUUAUCGUGUCAACUUUCAUACCUAAAGAGAAAUAAUUUUCAUUUUUCAGCUAACAUAAUUGUUCAAUUAUCAGUUUAUAUAGCCUACACCAGAGCCCUAAUUAAAUAUUGAUUAUAACCAUAAUUUUUAAAAAUACUAAAACUGGGUAGGACCUAUAGUGGCGAGGCUUAUCAUGGUGACUCACUUCACAAACCAACCUAAUCACGUAACUAAAAACGGCACAGGAAUCAAAGGAUUGGUGGUAUUCGAAUCCGGAACCUGGUCAAACGAAUUUAGACGCUUGAAAUGUUUGGUUAAUGUUUUGGUCGCCAUUGCGCGUGGCGCCAACCAGCCUGCUACUUAAAUGAAUCGUGCAUAAGAACCGACGUCAUAGCAAGCCCAACUCAAGCCAGUCCCAGAGCUGCCAGGUGAGAAUGCCAGGACUUGAUUUUCGUGUUCCUCCACGCCUCGGCCGAUAGCCUAGAGCUGUUUCGGUUUGAGCUAAAGCCCUUUCUCGCUACACAGUAAUACACCACUUAUUAUCAUACACAUCAAUGUAGUGCGUGUUUACUAUAUGCCAGCAAGGCGUGCUACGUGCUCAUAUUCAAUUUUUUUUUAAAAUUCCCCUAACGAAGCUUCAUAGUACCUUAUUACCAGGUCUCUACACACAUCCGUGAAACUUUAGGAGCCAGCGAUAAAAAGUAUACAUGUACUUUUAUGAGUAUUUCUACUUUCACAUUUCAUUUUAACAUUAAAGUACUAUGCGGUACCUAUACAGCAACUUGGUACACUAUCAGUUAUUAGAGUUAACUUAUUGCAAUUUAAAUACCGUCCCGGUUUUUGCACCCAGUUAUUUUUGUACAACAAGAAUUUGUGUCAACAAAAUUGGCUAAUGUAGAGUUAUAUGUUGGUAUCUUGGCAGUAGUCAGUUGCCAGCAAGAAGAAAGUUACGCAUCAUGGUGACCUGGCGUCCGGGAUUCGUAGUCCUGCUUAUUACUAAAUAUAAUCAGUCCCCUCUGAGAGAGGAUUGUGAUUCUGCCUACGUGCAUGUAUUUCGUUUUUGUAUUGCCUUUCCAUAUUGUAAGUUCUUUAGAAGUUAUACUUAACUCUGCUCAAUAAAAAAAUUAAUUUAAUUUUGCAUGUAAAUAAUUAAUAUAAAUAAAAAAAUAAAAGGACAUCAGAGAUAUUUUAACCACGGUUGGUAAAGUAUAAAUUCAUUCAAAUAAAAAAAAAUUAAAUAAAGACUUAGUAUUCAAUAUUAAUAUAAACACAUGUAUUAAAUUGAUUAUUUAAUUUAGUAAAGUAAUCGAGAUACAUUUUAAUUGAUAAUGAAAAUUAAUAAAUAUGCCGAUUGUUUAAUCUAAUUUAUUAAUUUUAAUUAUUUAUUAAAGAAUAAUGUAAUCAUUUAAAAUUUAUAAUGCAAAUAAAUUAUACAUAGGGGAAAGGUGGCUAAGAGGACGCAUCGUCUAAGAGUACGCAGUGUCGUUACAGUUAAGUUGGCAACAUGUGGCGAAAAACUAGUGUCGGCCAGCCAUUGUGUUCUUAACUGUUGUUCCAGUCGUAGUUGGACGGAAAGUGUAGUGCGUGAUUUGUAGAGUGUACAGGUAAGAACAUAUUUUCUGCUUGUUUACUGUAAUAUUUAUAUCUUAUAAAAUAAGGAAUGUAAUAAUGCUGGUAAGGUGGAUGUGCAUUGUCAAGUAGUGUAAGAAUUGAUGAAUGUCUUCCUGUAGUAGCCCCCGAGUAUGUUUCCCGUAAAGUAGCAUCUGAUGCCAUCUGUCGGAUUUUAAAGGAAACAUUACAAAGUCGGGCAAGAGUACUCACGGUGAUAUCGGCUAAGAGUUCGCGCGUACUCUUGCCCGCACUGUUUGCGUACUCUUACCCGAUCCAUUAUUCCAGCAGUGUUCAUCAUAGGAUAUAAAUAUAAACAGAGGGAAGAGGAUUAAAGAAAUGAAUUAUCUGUUUAUGUUCGUUUUUUAUACAUGUAAACACUAAAGGUAUGUAUUUUAUGUGUGCAGAAAUGGGUAGACGGAAACGAACCACGAACAGGAAGCUCUUCACUGCUGAAGACAUUAAGAUAGUCCUAAGUCUGAGGGAGGAAGUUAAGCAUAUGCCAUAUUGGACUUCGAUUAGGCAAGAAUGAAGCCACUGUGCGAAAGAGGCUGAGAUCUGGGAAAAUUCCUACAUCCUUGGGGCGUUUCCACAAAGUGUUCAGCGAUGAACAAGAACAGGAAAUUGAAGACCUCAUCAAAGACUUCGACUGCAAAUUUUACGGUAUUACUAGGAAACAAUUAAUGGUGUUAGUGUAUAAGUUUGCUGACGCAAAUAACAUUGCACAUCCCUUUAACAAAGAUAAGCGAAUGGCUGGCAAGGACUGGGUAGUAGACUUUGUUAAAAGGCGUCAUCUUUCCUUGAGAGCACCUGAGCAGUGUAGUCUUGGUCGAGUAAUGGGUUUAAUGAAGUGCAGUGUGGCAGGUUUUUUGAGAACCUAAGGGUAUGUUAUGAAAACUUCAACUUUCCUCCCCACCGCAUAACAAAUAUGGAUGAAACGGGCAUUUCUACGGUGCCAAACACCACUCCCAAAGUUUACACAACAACAGGUAAACGGGCUGUAUGCAAAGUGUCCUCUGGAGAAAGAGGUGACAAUGUUACAGCUGUCUGUUGUGUUAGUGCUACAGGUUUUCCUGUUCCUCCAGCAUUAAUUUUUCCAAGGAAAAGAAUGCACGAUGCACUAUACAAAGACGCACCUCAAGGAACCCUUCCUCUAAUAUCGGAUUCUGGAUUUAUGAACUCAGAACUGUUUGUACAAUGGCUAAAUCACUAUCAGAAACACGUGAAAGCAUCAGCUGACGACCCGGCAUUGUUGAUACUCGACAAUGACCGCUCUCACUGUAGCCUGGAUGCAAUUCUGUUUUGCAGGGAACAUAACAUUACAUUGUUAACUCUUCCUCCUCAUUCCAGCCAUAUGCUUCAGCCAUUGGACAAAGUAUUCUUUGGGCCAUUAAAAUGUGCUUAUGCUAGAGAUGUGGAGGCAUGGAUGACAACACCAGGGAACCAGGGAACCAUGCAUCUGCUGUUCAGCUUAAACACGUAGCAGGUUUAUUUCGAAGUGCUUAUGGUAGAACGGCCACUGUAGAAAAAGCAAUAAAAUCCUUUGAAUGUACUGGUAUAUACCCUUUCAACGCAAAUGUAUUUUCUGCUGACGAUUUCGCACCCUCUCUGGUUACUCUCCGCGAGAUACAUGACUGUGAUAUUAGGCCGGAUUUUCAUGCAGCUAGCUGUGAAGAAGUAGAUGACACUUCUCAUAUCCCAUUAUGCCAGCCUUCAGAAGCUAACAAAGAGGCUAUGAUAAACUUACAUGACCAACCAAGUACCUCGACAGGUAAUCAAUCUCAGCUGUUCCACACACCAAUAUCUGAGAUAUAACCGUCUCCAAAGGACAAUUCGGCAGGUAAACGAAAAAGACGAGCACAAAAAUCAGAAAUACAGACGUCAACACCAGUGAAGAAUAAUAUGGAACUGAAAAAGCGAGAGAGUUAAGAAAA